rnacentral:rRNA from 1 species
UGCCAGCAGCCGCGGUAAUACGAAGGUGGCGAGCGUUGUUCGGAUUUACUGGGCGUAAAGAGCACGUAGGCGGUUGGGUAAGCCUCUUGAGAAAGCUCCCGGCUUAACCGGGAAAGGUCGAGGGGAACUACUCAGCUAGAGGACGGGAGAGGAGCGCGGAAUUCCCGGUGUAGCGGUGAAAUGCGUAGAUAUCGGGAGGAACAUCAGUGGCGAAGGCGGCUCCCUGGCCAAAGACUGACGCUGAGAUGCGAAAGCGUGGGGAGCGAACAGGAUUAGAUA